rnacentral:rRNA from 1 species
UACGAAGGGGGCUAGCGUUGUUCGGAAUUACUGGGCGUAAAGCGCACGUAGGCGGAUAUUUAAGUCAGGGGUGAAAUCCCAGAGCUCAACUCUGGAACUGCCUUUGAUACUGGGGUAUCUUGAGUAUGGAAGAGGUAAGUGGAAUUGCGAGUGUAGAGGUGAAAUUCGUAGAUAUUCGCAAGAACACCAGUGGCGAAGGCGGCUCACUGGCCCGGUACUGACGCUGAGGUGCGAAAAGCGUGGGGGAGCAAACAGG